GAUGAACGCUGGCGGCGUGCCUAAUACAUGCAAGUCGAGCGAACAGACGAGGAGCUUGCUCCUCUGACGUUAGCGGCGGACGGGUUAGUAACACGUGGAUAACCUACCUAUAAGACUGGGAUAACUUCGGGAAACCGGAGCUAAUACCGGAUAAUAUAUUGAACCGCAUGGUUCAAUAGUGAAAGACGGUUUUGCUGUCACUUAUAGAUGGAUCCGCGCCGGAUUAGCUAGUUGGUAAGGUAACGGCUUACCAAGGCAACGAUGCGUAGCCGACCUGAGAGGAUGAUCGGCCACACUGGAACUGAGACACGGUCCAGACUCCUACGGGAGGCAGCAGUGGGGAAUCUUGCGCAAUGGGCGAAAGCCUGACGGAGCAACGCCGCGUGAGUGAUGAAGGUCUUCGGAUCGUAAAACUCUGUUAUUAGGGAAGAACAAAUGUGUAAGUAACUAUGCACGUCUUGACGGUACCUAAACAGAAAGCCACGGCUAACUACGUG
rnacentral:rRNA from 1 species